AUCUAUACCAAUAAUUCUCCCAUGAACCACACUAGACCCGUCUUCCGGAUCAUAAUUCGUCACAUAUUCCGUUAACAAUGCUAUAUCUAUUGGUGGUAGCCUCUGCGAAAACUUCACAAACCCAUACAUCUGUGCCGUGCAAAACUCUCUCUGUCUCCUUUGCGACCAAAAAAUGUCCAUAGCGACCGGCUCCAUGCUGAUCACUAUCACGCACUCCAUUGGUGGCAAUGAUCCCUUUGUCUUGAUAUUACGCUGUCGCUCCUCUCUCGUAGCUGUCCUCUUCUUACGCUCAAUCACCAUCUUCGCUACUCAUGAUAAUCCUCUAAAACCUAUACUUAGCAACGUGAAUCAAGAAAUUACAAUGUAAACAAUGCCAGCCAAGAGUCCCACUCCUAACUUCUACCCUGGUUCUCCUCUUGAUAUGUCUUAACCUAACAGGCCUGUAACAACCUAUCCUAUUAGUGUCUUCCUGACGGCUCACCUUCACUCAACCCGUCCAUAAUCUCAUCAUCGCACGCUCUUCCCUUCUCAUCACAACUCUUGCGAUGUCACUUCAAUACUAAAUUGGCUUUUUCUCUCCCCCCC
rnacentral:lncRNA from 1 species